ensembl:lncRNA
GUUUUAUAAAUUCAUUCAUUUUAUAAGUUCAGAACUAUACACACUGUUUCAUAAUCACUUUUCAUGUCACGACAUACGGACGUUUCCAGGCUAUUAAACCAUUAAAUAACCUUCUACAUCUUUGCUGCUUACCCCUCUUUUUUGAGAGAUAGAUGACUCACUGCUUUGUGGAGAAUUACAAUUUUCUGUCCGACUUCUAAUAACAUUUAUUUCCUUAUAUUAUGAGUUACCCAAGUUUACUCAUAAAAUUUUGGUAAACAUAGUUGGGCUUUACCCAACUGAGGAUAUAUACACAUACUAUUUUGUAACUUGUUUUCACUCACAGUGCGUCCUAAACGUUUUCCUAUCUCCUUAAAUACACUUCUACGGUUAUUUCCUAAUUUUUUUAAACAAGAAUCCCUAGAACCCAAUUUCACAGGAUCUUCAUGAGUCAAGGUCAUCAUUAAGAAUAUCAAUAAGUGUAACAUGCUAUAGCUAUGAGUGCAAAUGACGGAACACAAAUCAGGGUGAAUGACCCCAGAAGAUGCCCUAAAUCUGUUCUGUUCUAUUGGUUUGUUUUCCUAAGUUAUCCAAUAUGAAGCUUUUUAAUCAGUGGUCUCUCCCUCAUGAAAGUAAAAGAGACAUAAAACAGCUCUCAAUCAGUCUAAGUGUCUGCCAAGGGAGUCAUUAAUUCCAACAGGCUUUUCCCAAGUAAUAUCCCUACCUUCCAUGUAACAAGGAGGAGGAGGAGGAGGAGGAGAUUCAUUUUCCUGUUCCUAUGACUUGGGUGAUUUCAAAACCACCUCUGUUAUUUCUUAAUCAGUAAUGAAAGGUCUAUGUCAACAGUUUCAAUGAACUUUUCUUUGCCACAGUCAGUAAGAAAUGCCUCUCAACACCUCUGAAUUAGUAUAAGGAUAUUUGGGGAAGAUUUACUUCAACACCUGCAAAUCCUCUGCCAUCAUUCAUCAGAAAACAUUUCUGCACUGGUCAUAGUUUCCUCAAGCUCUGUGGCUUAAGUGAUUAACCAUGACCCAAAUUUGAGGCCCAAGCAACUCUGUGAGCUUAAAGAUGCUUUUUAAAAAACAUAUAAUGAUCUGAUGAUCUUCCCUGCAUAAUGAAUCAACUUCUUCAUCAGAUCUAUUCGAAAAAACACAUUUCAUAUUCUAUAGGCAUACUACUAAAUGAAAGAGGCCGAAACCAUCAGGCAAAGAGAGGUUACAUUUACCAGAACUAACAUCUAAUCCUGUUCCUAUGCAAUGGAUACUACAGUUGUCUGGUUACCCAAGUGGAUGUAGGCAAGCAAUCUUUUUAAAUUAUCUUUUAUUGAAGAUACAGAAAGGGCAUGGAAAUAAUUGGCACCAUAAACAACAGGCAAAAUCUAUAUGCAAUUCAUCCACAGAACUUAAAACUGCAUCUCCUACAUGAUAGGCAUUCAAUAAAUUUUCGCAACAAGUAAAUGUUCUCAAACAAUAACAUUUUUCAUUUACCAAAAGUCCUGAUGGGAACCAUCAGGAUUAGUAUAUGUGAGAUCAUUCAACCUGCCUCUUAUUCCACUACGUUCUGGGGGAGACUGCACAAACACCUGCUAGGGGAAAAGUGGCAAGUCUUAUCCUGAGCCCCUAGUUUUGUCAGCAUUAUAAAACUGCUUAAGGGAAAGCCCAAGUUCGAAAAAACCUGUCCAAAAUAGCCACAGCUGGUCCUGCAGUUCCGUGGUGUGCUGUUUCAACUCAGUUACAUCAACCUUCCAAACGCCUCCCUUUGAAAGGUCACAAUCACUCAUUAGAAAAUAAACACAGCUCAGUCAAACACAUUUGCCUGAAGCAAACUGGAAAUUCGAAGAAAUGGCCUUCACCUCGAUAGGGGUUGAGUCCAGUCAGCUGCCAAUUUAUUUUUUGACUUUGAGAAAGUCUUUUCUGCCAUCUCUGUGCCUCUGUGUCCAAAACGUGGAUUGAUUUGUCACAGGUCAGCAGAUGAACUUAUCAUCUACAUAAGAGUCUCAGCACAUAUCAAUUUCUCCCAUGAUUAUGCAAACAGAAAGAUACAGUUAAAUCCCACCUGAAAUACAGAAGUCAAAUAUCAACAUGAAACCAUGACGAAUAUAAAAAAUGGCUGCUAGAGAAAAUUCUUUAACUCUUCAUAGACUCAUGUGAGAGAACAAUCACCCCCACCCCACCCGGCAUGCGGAGGACCACCUUACUGAAAACGAGAUCCUGGAUUCCUCCAAGAGGUGUGAACUCCAUUUGUAACGUCUACAGAAAGCUCAGCCCUCGGAGUAAAAGUUUUAGGAGCCAGGGCUCAUCUCCCUCUGCCACGGAUAGGGAAAUGAUUAGUUACUGCCUGGCCCAGACAGGGGAAAUGAACUCGCCGGCUUGUGUGAAAACAACAAAAUGCUGUUUUUCCAGAACAGUUGAUUAAAAACACGCUGUCCUAAGUGCAGUGAAGUGAAACGUUCCUUCCUGGUUCCAGCCCUCACAGGGGGAAACAACAGCUCUGCGGGCUCGGCCUCCGAUGAACAAAGCCUGGGGUCGCCCCAGCGUGCAGACACGGCUUCCACACUCACUGUCACUCUGACAGGCUGAGGGAACAGAGGCCUCAGAGACUCAGGAGGACACAGGGUUGUCAAGAUAUGUUGACCAUAUCGCUGCAUAUAUUUCACGGAGCAGGUUACUAAGAUGGUAAAGGUCUUAGAAAGAAAGAAGGCCAAGAAAGCUGGGUAACUUAUACCAACACUAUGCUGUUUUGUAGCUACACAUCCUCUCAUGUUCCUGGGAACCCAGAAGCAUGUUAUACCUCUCUAAUCAAGAGAGAAGAUUCUAAAUAAGAUGGCCUAUAUAAAUGGCGACCAUAUUUUCCGUCUAAAAGUUGGGAUAUAAACUGACAAGUAUAAACACACAUCUGAAAUCUAUCAGGUAGAAUAUCUGAAACCAAGGCACACAAAAUCCAGAGUAUGUCAUCACCCUACCUACCUUGAAAGACUCCCAGGCCCCUCCUCUGCAGAUCUGGUUCCGCAAAUCUGGGUGGUGCCUGAGAAUCUAUAUUUUAACAAGCACCCUGAGGAGAUUCUUAUGCUUUGACAAGUUUGGAGAACAUUGGAUUGGACCAAUUAUAUUCUACAACACUUAGUUCUCUUUAAGAUAGUUCUACCUUUAAAUCCCAUUUACUAAUAGCUUCAACAAUGUUAGCUUAUAAAUGGUAACAAUAAUGAAUAUUUGUCUUCUCC